AUACAGAGGGUGCAAGCGUUAUUCGGAAUUACUGGGCGUAAAGCGCGCGUAGGCGGAUGAUUAAGUCAGUUGUGAAAGCCCUGGGCUCAACCUAGGAACUGCAUCUGAUACUGGUCAUCUAGAGUUUAAGAGAGGGAAGUGGAAUUCCAGGUGUAGCAGUGAAAUGCGUAGAUAUCUGGAGGAACAUCAGUGGCGAAGGCGACUUCCUGGCUUAGAACUGACGCUGAGGUGCGAAAGCGUGGGUAGCGAACGGGAUUAGAUACCCUAGUAGUCC
rnacentral:rRNA from 1 species